UACGUAGGGUGCGAGCGUUAAUCGGAAUUACUGGGCGUAAAGCGUGCGCAGGCGGUUUUGCAAGCCGGAUGUGAAAUCCCCGGGCUCAACCUGGGAAUGGCAUUCGGGACUGCAAGGCUGGAGUGCGGCAGAGGAGACUGGAAUUCCUGGUGUAGCAGUGAAAUGCGUAGAUAUCAGGAGGAAUACCGGUGGCGAAGGCGGGACUCUGGGCCGAUACUGACGCUGAGGAGCGAAAGCGUGGGGAGCAAACAGG
rnacentral:rRNA from 1 species